UCCCCCACCCCCCUCAAAAAAUAAAAAACGCAUUCCCUCUUCUUCUCGGCAGAACCCGUAAACAUUCAUAUCCUUCUCCGCAUAAACAAACGAUAACUCCCAAUAGAACCAAUUUGUUGUCUCGUUAUAGUUUAUUUUUAAUUAAAUUAAACAAAAGAAACUUAUUGAUUUGUAAUAAUGAUGGCGGAGGAGCGGUGAGAGGUGCAGAUCUGAAUUGGACUUGAGUUGCGGCGGUGGAGGUUCUGGCUGUUCCAUUCCAUCCAAAGUUGCAUAAAUCACUCUGAACUGAACGAGGGGUACUCCUCUUCAAAAACUCCGUGGGAGUAAAAUCAAUCUCUCUUCUAUCAAACAUGUGGAUUUUGGUGUGGGGUUGAAUUCCGCGGAUUCUCCUUUGGUUCUAUUCAAUUGGCUGGUUGAGCUUGGUAAUAUUGAAUCAUUGACACUCUCUUACAGCACUCUUCAGGUUCUCUCCUCAAUACCUGAUUUAUUGAAGAUUGAGUUCCCUUCUUUGCGUAAUUUGAAGUCACUGAAAGUAAAAUCAUUCGUACCUUUGUGUUCUAUACCUGUGUUCCGUAUCUCAGCCGACUUUUUGCUUCAAAACUCACCGUCCGCAGAGGUUAGCCACAUACCAUAUGUUGAUUAAGGGAAGUAAAUACAAGCACACACUCUUGAUGGAUUACUUUUUCAGUUGAAACCAGAGCACAUGAGAGCAGAAGUUAUAGAUGUUGGGUUUUGCAGAAAAGGAAUGGUGGAGGGUACGAGAGCUAUUGGAAUCUGUGAUGCAGAAGUUUUGCCAUGGAAUUGGAAUCAAGAAAGAGUCCUCGAAGCCUGGAUGCUCUAUAACAAUAACAUUUUUCCAAGGGAAAUCUUUCUAAUAGCUAGAUAGCAUGUCUUAGAUUUAUUUAUUUUCUAUAACUUUACUAUACUAUCGUAACUAAUUUGUGUCAUGUAUUCUACUUUUAGGGGAUUUAUAUAUUUGAAUAUUUUUCAGCAAUAUGUUUGAUGCUGCUUUAUUUAAUUUCAAGGGCAUGGUGUGAUUUGGAUUAGAGUCUCCAACUAUUUGGUUGCAGAACUGUGGGCUAUAUGCCAUAUCAAUCUAGGGGUUUAAUUAUCUUAACUCUUUUUUUCUUCUUGAGAUUGUUGUCAAUUGAACGAGAACAAAUCAUUCGUU
rnacentral:lncRNA from 1 species